UUUGCUGCCAGGAGAGACUGGUCUGUGCUGCUCUGGGAGGAGCCUGAUCUCCUAGCCAAGUCCUUGGCCACACGCUACUUAUCAGAAGUGUUGUGUGAUAGCUGUCGGAAAUUAGUGAAGAGAGUCCCAGGCAGGAAAGCAGGUAAGAGAGUUGCUGGAGGCAGAACUGAAGCCCAUUAUUGAACACUGGUGGCCGCUUGGAAAUGCUAAGUGGAGACAGCUUGUGGGCUGAGGAGAGAGGAAGGGGCAGAGUCUGAGACCCCUGAGCUAGAGCAGACAGUACCAUAGACAGAGCCCCGGAUAAGACCUGAGGCUCAAGAAGGAGGGGCCCUUCUGCUGCCAGGAACAAGGACCCAUGUUCUGUGAACCCCUCACUCUUGGUGUGCUGGUAUACAAGAAAUCAGAGUCCUUAGGAUGAAGAAAUCUUAGAGAUCAACUGUUGCGACCCCCUAACUGAAGCCAACGUCUCCACAUGAUAAGUCAAUCCUAAAGGAAAUCAACCUUGAAUAUUCAUUGGAGGGACUGAUUUGAAGCUGAAGCUCUACUCUUUUGGCCACCUGAUGUGAAGAGCCAGGUCAUUGGAAAAGACCCUGAUGCUGGGAAAGAUUGAUGGCAAAAGGAGAAGAGGGCAGCAGAGGAUGAAAUGUUUAGACAGCAAUACCAACUCACUGGACAUGAAUCUGAGCAAACUCUGGGAGAUAGUGAAGGACAGAGGAGCCUGGUGUGCUGCAGUCCAUGGGGUUGCAAAGAGUUGAACAGGACUUAGCAACUCAACAACAACAGAUAAGUCAAAAUUGCAUUAAAGAAGGAGUAUAAAUCUCUCUUGAAGACCAGCUGAGGUGUUGUGUUGCUGUUGCUAUUGUUUUAAGGAAUUGAUCCUCAUGAUGGGGAACACAUGGAUUGCCACACCCCAUUGGAAGCAUUUUCCCUUCUGUCAUCAGUAUCACGCUCUGUGGAGAGCAUCUUCCAGCCUCCAGAGGACAGGUUUUACAGGUUGCCGAGGAACUGGAUUGAUUUUGGAGAGCCUUGAAUGCCAUGUGGAGUUUGGACUUGAAGCUGAGAUUUUAAACAAUCCCGUGCUGCUGCUGACCCCAUGUUAGAUUUGCCUUGCCAUGUGAAAAAGAGCAACAUCCCACACUUGCCCAUCCUGUGCCCUUUCUUGCUUGAAGCUACAGCAACUCACAAAACCUGUCAUCUGUCCUGGGCUGCAAGAGGCUUUGACUUUGCCUGUGCGUGGCCCCUGGGAGUCCAGAUGUUUUCACUGCAGGGGAAGGAGCUCAUUUGGAAAAAAAAAAAAAAUCCAAUUGUUUGUAAUGUGAUGCAAUUUUCUCUUGAAAUCAAUUAGCGUCUCCCUAAUUCCUCUGCAUACAAUUGCUUUCAAAAAUAAAUUCCAGGUUCCAUGUC
ensembl:lncRNA